rnacentral:rRNA from 1 species
ACGAACGCUGGCGGCACGCUUAACACAUGCAAGUCGAACGAGAGAAGAGGAGCUUGCUUUUCUGAUCUAGUGGCGGACGGGUGAGUAACACGUGAGCAAUCUGCCUUUCAGAGGGGGAUACCGAUUGGAAACGAUCGUUAAUACCGCAUAACAUAAUUGAACCGCAUGAUUUGAUUAUCAAAGAUUUAUCGCUGAAAGAUGAGCUCGCGUCUGAUUAGCUAGUUGGUAAGGUAACGGCUUACCAAGGCGACGAUCAGUAGCCGGACUGAGAGGUUGAUCGGCCACAUUGGGACUGAGACACGGCCCAGACUCCUACGGGAGGCAGCAGUGGGGAAUAUUGCACAAUGGAGGAAACUCUGAUGCAGCGAUGCCGCGUGAGGGAAGAAGGUUUUAGGAUUGUAAACCUCUGUCUUCAGGGACGAAAAAAGACGGUACCUGAGGAGGAAGCUCCGGCUAACUACGUGCCAGCAGCCGCGGUAAUACGUAGGGAGCGAGCGUUGUCCGGAAUUACUGGGUGUAAAGGGAGCGUAGGCGGGAUCGCAAGUCAGAUGUGAAAACUAUGGGCUUAACCCAUAAACUGCAUUUGAAACUGUGGUUCUUGAGUGAAGUAGAGGUAAGCGGAAUUCCUAGUGUAGCGGUGAAAUGCGUAGAUAUUAGGAGGAACAUCAGUGGCGAAGGCGGCUUACUGGGCUUUAACUGACGCUGAGGCUCGAAAGCGUGGGGAGCAAACAGGAUUAGAUACCCUGGUAGUCCACGCCGUAAACGAUGAUUACUAGGUGUGGGGGGACUGACCCCUUCCGUGCCGCAGCAAACGCAAUAAGUAAUCCACCUGGGGAGUACGACCGCAAGGUUGAAACUCAAAGGAAUUGACGGGGGCCCGCACAAGCAGUGGAGUAUGUGGAUUAAUUCGAAGCAACGCGAAGAACCUUACCAGGUCUUGACAUCGUAUGCAUAGCUCAGAGAUGAGUGAAAUCUCUUCGGAGACAUAUAGACAGGUGGUGCAUGGUUGUCGUCAGCUCGUGUCGUGAGAUGUUGGGUUAAGUCCCGCAACGAGCGCAACCCUUACUGUUAGUUGCUACGCAAGAGCACUCUAGCAGGACUGCCGUUGACAAAACAGAGGAAGGUGGGGAUGACGUCAAAUCAUCAUGCCCCUUAUGACCUGGGCCUCACACGUACUACAAUGGCUGUCAACAGAGGGAUGCAAAGCCGCGAGGUGGAGCGAACCCCUAAAAGCAGUCUUAGUUCGGAUUGUAGGCUGCAACCCGCCUACAUGAAGUCGGAAUUGCUAGUAAUCGCAGAUCAGCAUGCUGCGGUGAAUACGUUCCCGGGCCUUGUACACACCGCCCGUCACGCCAUGGGAGUCGGUAACACCCGAAGCCUGUAGUCUAACCGCAAGGAGGACGCAGUCGAAGGUGGGAUUGAUGACUGGGGUG